rnacentral:misc_RNA from 1 species
GAUGAAGAACGUAGCGAAAUGCGAUAAGUAAUGUGAAUUGCAGAAUUCAGUGAAUCAUCGAAUCUUUGAACGCACAUUGCGCCCGCCAGUAUUCUGGCGGGCAUGCCUGUUCGAGCGUCAUUUCAACCAUCAAGCCCUGCUUGCGUUGGGGUCCUGCGGCUGCCCGCAGGCCCUGAAAACCAGUGGCGGGCUCGCUAGUCACACCGAGCGCAGUAAUACAUCCCGCUUUGGGCGUGCGGCGGGUUCUUGCCGUUAAACACCCCCUUUUUACCAAGGUUGACCUCGGAUCAGGUAGGAAUACCCGCUGAACUUAAGCAUAUCAAUAAGCGGAGGA